UUUUAGCAUCACAUUUUCAAACAAAACAUUUUGGUUUGGUUGAAAACAAUUGGAGUCUAGCAUAGAAUGGAGUGUUUGCUGUGCUUGAAGACUUGCUCCGACUAUAUAGCAGAAUAUUCUAAGGAGUGGUCGGAAUUCAAAGUAAAAAACUUGGUAGACAAACAUCUAUGGGCCAUACAGGAGAGCACAUCACCGUUGUGUAUUUGUAUGAUUUGUUGGACUGAAUUGGACAGAUUUAAUAAAUUCUACGCAUGCAUCGAACAAGCACACAAUAUUUUAAAGCAGGCCGUAGCUAAACCACCAAGUGACCCUUUGGACCCUUUUCCACAGGAAGUUCUAUUGGAAAGCGAAAUUGACCAAGCAAUUUUAUUUACUGCUGAUAGCAACCAAGGUAACGAGCUUUAUUUAGUCCACGGUGAUAAUCAAGGCCUUUUCGAUGGUAAUUAUGACGAUGAAACUAAUGAAGAAAAUGCAAAAAAUGUAAGUUGUAACAAUGUACCAGCAAAUACUAAUAAUGAAUGUAUGGAUGAGUGCAUGAGUGAUACUUCUCCUGUGAACUUUAUCAUAGAUGCCGCAAAGAGGAAUAAAGCAGAUUAUGACGCCUUCCUUAAGGAACAUUUCAAAAUUACUUGCGAUAAGUGCUACCAGACUUUAGAAACAUUUGCAUUGCUUGCGCAGCAUUACAGCAAAAGCCACAAUGAACGUGGUUAUGUUGUUUGCUGUGAGACAAAAUUUUUCUAUCGUCAUUUUUUAGUAGAUCACAUCAAAUAUCAUUUGAACCCCGAUUACUUUAAGUGCACAUAUUGCGAUAAAUCAUUUUCCACAAGGCGAUGUUUGCAAAUACACAUCCAACUACACGAGGAUAGGAAGCAUGCCUGUGACAAGUGCGAUAAAAAGUACAUAAAAAGAUAUUUGCUCGAAAAACACAAAUUAACACACAUGCCUAAGCCGGAGAAGAAAUUUUCCUGCAACGAAUGUGGUAAACUGUACGUCAGUCAGCAUGCACUUAACUAUCACGAAAAAGCUGUUCACCAAAAUGUAUAUGUGCGAGUAUGUGAAGUUUGUGGCCAGACGUUACCAGAUGCCUUUUCGUACAAACAGCACAUGUUGAGACAUAAUCCCAAACCAGUCAAAUGUGAAGAUUGCGGCUUGUUAGUAACAAGUCAGAUAACUUUAAAGUACCAUAGGGAUUUGAAACAUCCGGUGGGAGGAAGUCGGGAGUACAGUUGCCCAAUUUGCCAAAGAAUAUCACCAAAUAUGAGAGCUCACAAAGCCCAUAUAAAAGAAACACACGAGGCAAAACAAAAAUUCGAAUGCACACUUUGCAAUAAAAAAUUUAAGAGAAGGGAUAAAUUGAAGUGUCAUAUGGCUGUUCACACUGGAAAUCUAUCGUAUAGCUGUUCCUGGUGCCCAAAACAGUUCAUUACAAGCAGCAAUAUGACCCAUCACCGUAAGAAAGUGCAUCCUACUGAAUGGGAGGAGGAACAACGUAAAAAAUAUUCUGGAAAUUUGCCUCCCAGAUUACAAAAAUGUAAUUCAAAUAAUUCUUCAUAGAGCAAUAAGACAUUGUAGCUAAAGGAUUUCUCAAGGUUUUGAAAAUAUAAAUGUUUUAAAGGUGGCUCUGUAGAGCGAGUGAAAAGGAAAUUUGUAUGGAGUGUAUUGUGUCGUGUUUUAAAAUGUUUUUAUUAUAACACAACAAAAAAAGUAAAUAAAAAUAUAAAAAGUGAUCAACAAAAAAAAUCAUUUGUGUGCUCUAUUGUUCUUCUGCCAAUAUCACGUUUGCUAUAUCUUUCUGGAAUCGUAUAAAAUUUCACAACCAUGAGCAAUUAUCAAAACCAAACACCACCAACGGUGUUGAGAAACCAUCAUCAACACCAUCAGCAACACCACAACAAUCAUCAUUUCUCAUCAUCGUCAACAACAAGCACUGCGGCGCAACAGCAUAAUUUUACCACACCUGCAAUACCACAUCACCAACAGCCGGUGCCACUACCGGCACCACCACAACCUUUAAUUAGUAACUCAUUGGCGAUACGUCAGGAGAUUCAGCGAUUUGAAAGUGUACAUCCAUCGAUCUAUGCCAUCUAUGACUUAAUCGAUUUACUACCCAUAACGGACGCCCAGAUAGCUCAACAGAUACGGGAUCAUGUUGUCUGUAUUGAAGGUAUGAACUUUAUUGUUAAACUUGUAAGGAGUAAUUUGAAAACAAAGCAAUGUUCAUCAUUGGAGGUAAUCAAAGUAAAUAAAAAUUAAUUUUUUGUGGAAAAGCAACUUAUUCUGAUGGAUAAUUGAAACUAUUUCAUAUAUUUGGUAAAUAGCUGAUUUAAAACAAUUCAAUAAAAACCAACUGUACAAGUGGCACAGCCUUUGUCGGUUUACUGU